UCAAACCGUCAAGCUUGGCUUGUAGUUGGACUUUUUAAGGUUAGGAAAUUUCCUUAACCAGUCCGAAAGAUAAUGAACGAGUGCUUAACAGUCCUCGAUGUAAUGAGCUUUUUUCUAAGCACGCAUCGUACGGUCGGUGAACAAUCGUUCGUCACUAAAUUUUUCUUAU
rnacentral:misc_RNA from 1 species